CAGCCGCCGCGGGAAUACAGAGGGUGCGAGCGUUAAUCGGAUUUACUGGGCGUAAAGCGUGCGUAGGCGGCUUCUUAAGUCGGAUGUGAAAUCCCUGAGCUUAACUUAGGAAUUGCAUUCGAUACUGGGAAGCUAGAGUAUGGGAGAGGAUGGUAGAAUUCCAGGUGUAGCGGUGAAAUGCGUAGAGAUCUGGAGGAAUACCGAUGGCGAAGGCAGCCAUCUGGCCUAAUACUGACGCUGAGGUACGAAAGCAUGGGGAGCAAACAGGAUUAGAUACCCCGGUAGUCCCUGUCUCUAUACA
rnacentral:rRNA from 1 species